rnacentral:rRNA from 1 species
GAACCUACCUUUUACAGAGGAAUAGCCUUUAGAAAUGAAGAUUAAUGCCUCAUAGUAUUGUAGACUGGCAUCAGUUUAUAAUUAAAGAUUUAUCGGUAAAAGAUGGCUAUGCGUCCUAUUAGUUAGUUGGUAAGGUAACGGCUUACCAAGACAGCGAUAGGUAGGGGUCCUGAGAGGGAGAUCCCCCACACUGGUACUGAGACACGGACCAGACUCCUACGGGAGGCAGCAGUGAGGAAUAUUGGACAAUGGAGGAGACUCUGAUCCAGCCAUGCCGCGUGUAGGAAGAAUGCCCUAUGGGUUGUAAACUACUUUUAUACAGGAAGAAACACUGGUAUGUAUACCAGCUUGACGGUACUGUAAGAAUAAGGACCG